rnacentral:rRNA from 1 species
AUCUAUGGCCAUGCCACCCUGAACAAGCCCGAUCCCAUCUGAUCUCGGAAGCUAAGCAGGGUGGGGCCUGGUUAGUACUUGGAUGGGAGACCACCUAGGAAGACCAGGUGCUGUUGGCA